AACCAUAGAAACCUGCGGAGUACCUGCGGAGGGAUCAUUACAGAGUUGCAAGACUCCCUAAACCAUUGUGAACGUUACCUAAACCGUUGCUUCGGCGGGCGGCCCGGGUCCUUCCCGGCGCCCCUCGGCCCUCGCGGGCGCCCGCCGGAGGUAAACCAAACUAUUGCAUUGUAUGGCCUCUCUGAGUCUUCUGUACUGAAUAAGUCAAAACUUUUAACAAUGGAUCUCAGAUCGGAAGAG
rnacentral:misc_RNA from 1 species